rnacentral:lncRNA from 1 species
AAGAUUACCUCAGUUAUAUUGUCCCUGUGGUCUCACCUUUCCCCAAAAUUGACGUGACUCAUAGUCAGCACCCUCAUGUUUCCAGCUUUUACGCCUUGAUGUAUUUUCUUGAUAUCCUUCCCUUUUGCGACAAGCACCAAAAGGUAUUCGGGAGUCAUUUUUUUCAAUGUUNUAAUUGGAAGAGAGAGAGUGCUGGAGCGCUUGGGAGAGAGAGAGAUCGCUGUUCGUAGAGAGAGAUAUCGUCAGGAGAAGAAUCGCUGUGCAAGAGAGGAGAGCUCUGUUUUUACGUGGCCCGGCGUUUUAAUUUGGCAACGGGAAUGAAUCUGUACCGGGUGUUUUAAAAGGAAUGAGUUUGUUAUUAUUUUAGCCCAAAAGGAAUGGACUUGGAUUAGUCAUUCCAUUCAACUGGCCCAACCAAACAACACAAUUAUUCAUUCAGCCCGGAAUGGCCAUUCCAUUCAGCCCAAAAUGAUUCCAUUCAAGUGAAGUGAACAGAGCCUAAUACAUCCAGAAACUAGAGUCCUAGCUUUCAAAAAAAACCAAUCUCAUUCGGUUUUACGCAUAGAAGAUAGUGGACCUGAAUCCCUAUAGAGGACAGUUACGCAGUAACAAGGACUGGAAAGUGUGAAUAUGCAAAAGAACAAAGAGGUAAAGGACACCAAAGAGUGUUCUUCCAGAGCUAUAUGCAGGAAUCAAGAAAACAAGGAACAUCAGAUUGCCCAACCUCACAUGGUCUGCAUAUAUAGUUCAUCUCAGCCUACUUCAAGUUUUUGGGAAGUUUUUUUUGCUAAUGGCGACCCUGCUCUAUCCAAGUAUAGAUAUUACGCAAAUGAAAGAAGCUACUACUGGAGUUUCUCUAGUCUUACCCCUACGCAAAUGAAAGAAGCUCCGACUAAAGUCUCUCUACUCUUCCCCCUCAACAUCUUUCUUUGCUGUCGUACCCAAUAUAUAUUGGGUUCAACCGGAAAGCAAUCACUUUACAGGUGAUGAUCUACUAACAAACAAGUCACCUGUGCCUAGUGGAUCAUCUUUACCUUUGUUCGAUGGUAAAUUGGAAAACCUCCUUUUUCAUUUACUUUUUUACAGAACUUGUGGAGUUGGCUUGUAAUACAUAUAUAGGUUUCCAAGUUAGUUGUAUCUUCCCUGCAACAUGCAUUACUCAUCUCAUCAAAAUUUCUCUGCAUCCAUAUUAACAAGCAGGUCCAACAAGUAAAAAGUAAAACAUCCACAAUAAUGUCGUGUUCACUAAAUGCAGAAAGGUACUAACAUUCAAUAAUCGCACACACUAAAAAUUAUAGCAGAAGGGUCAUUAAAGGUCUCUGAGAUAACAGGAGCGGCAUAGCAACAUCAGCCACAAAGUUCUGAUUACAAGAGAAACCAAACAAGGAAUACAUUUUCUAGUCCGUUCACAUAUUAAAAAGAUACAUACUCAUAUUGUGAGCAAAAGCAUAGUACAUUCUGAUUCAGUGUAACCUUCAUUCAAAAUGACCACUACGCCCGACGUAGUAUAUUCCUAAAAAUUAAGAUUACCUCAGUUAUAUUGUCCCUGUGGUCUCACCUUUCCCCAAAAUUGACGUGACUCAUAGUCAGCACCCUCAUGUUUCCAGCUUUUACGCCUUGAUGUAUUUUCUUGAUAUCCUUCCCUUUUGCGACAAGCACCAAAAGGUAUUCGGGAGUCAUUUUUUUCAAUGUUGUUAUAUUGAUUGGUUGACCAUUUUGAGUUUCGAGAAUUGCUUCCACAAUCAGUAUAUUGCCCAGAAUUUGAGGUUCCACCAGGACCCGACUUCCAGGAAUCUACAUUGCCUGAAUU